AGAUGCAAGCAUGGUUAUUGCCGAUGAAUUGAUUUUAUGAAGUGCUAGUUGUGGAUUAUUUUCGAAUACAUACCUUUGAGGUUUUAACCGGUAUUCUUUUUUUUCUUUCUUUCUUUUCUUUUCUUCUUCUUCAUUUAUUUAUUUUUUUAGGUGCAACUGGUAUUCAAUUUUAUGUCAAUUAUAUUGACUUUGGACAUUAAUCCAAAGCAACAAUAGUUUGGUCCUUUCUGGCUUUAUUUUCAUGUUUCAAUGUGUUUUGGGCAAGUAAAUUUUCAUGUUGUAACUGGGCAAUUAACAAUUUUGUUUUCCCUAUACAUGUCUUUCAGUAUUCUUCCCACCACCUCCUCCUACUUUUCUUGGCCCUUACAGCUCUAUCUGCAAGCAUGUUGAUGGAGAACCAAGAAAGUAAGAACAGAGGAAGCCCCAGAACUCCUACUUUCAGAGUGGGGGAUAUCAUUUGAAAGUUCCACAAGGCUGCCUUAUGCAUUUUGUGGGAACCUUGGAACUCUUGUACCUCAGUUCCAAGAUUUGUCAUGAUAUGAUAUGUUAAUGGUUGGCACCGGACUGAGUUACCUUAAAUUGCCAAACUAUAACUGGUGUAUCAUUUACUCAAAUAUAUAAUGAAAUGAUUUACUGUAGAA